ensembl:lncRNA novel transcript
CAUCCAAAGGUUGGUGCAUUAUCAGAAUGAUCUGAAGGAAAAAUAAAUUAUUCACAUCAAGGAAGCACCUGCUCUCUCUUUCCUCCUGCAUGUCCCAACUAGAAAAAGCAUCUCUUGUGCCAGAUGGAAAGAAAAAGAGGCCAGGGUGUCUGAGAAGGUCCCCAGCAUGCCCACCUGUACAGCAGCCUGGGAAGCCUCAGUAUCUGACCUGCCCUGGGAAAUGACUUCCAAACGCCUUCAGGGACUAGGCACUUCUCACAGCUUAUAGGAGUGCAUGAGGACACCUCCCAGCCUCCAGCCCUGGAAAAAGCACUGGACCUCUCCAGCUACAUGCCUUCUUUGUCCUUCUCCCAGUCAAGGCUCCACAGGCAAGGCCUCCACCCCCCAUCUUCCAUUGUACUCCUGCGCAGAAGCUGAGGAUGGGAAGCUUAGAAUAAAUUAUGUGAGCCCUCGCCCUGGCAGAAGUGACAGGGUGGACACCACACACUA